rnacentral:rRNA from 2 species
CCUAAUACAUGCAAGUCGAGCGGUAGCACAGAGAGCUUGCUCUCGGGUGACGAGCGGCGGACGGGUGAGUAAUGUCUGGGAAACUGCCUGAUGGAGGGGGAUAACUACUGGAAACGGUAGCUAAUACCGCAUAACGUCGCAAGACCAAAGAGGGGGACCUUCGGGCCUCUUGCCAUCAGAUGUGCCCAGAUGGGAUUAGCUAGUAGGUGGGGUAACGGCUCACCUAGGCGACGAUCCCUAGCUGGUCUGAGAGGAUGACCAGCCACACUGGAACUGAGACACGGUCCAGACUCCUACGGGAGGCAGCAGUGGGGAAUAUUGCACAAUGGGCGCAAGCCUGAUGCAGCCAUGCCGCGUGUAUGAAGAAGGCCUUCGGGUUGUAAAGUACUUUCAGCGAGGAGGAAGGCAUUGUGGUUAAUAACCACAGUGAUUGACGUUACUCGCAGAAGAAGCACCGGCUAACUCCGUGCCAGCAGCCGCGGUAAUACGGAGGGUGCAAGCGUUAAUCGGAAUUACUGGGCGUAAAGCGCACGCAGGCGGUCUGUCAAGUCGGAUGUGAAAUCCCCGGGCUC